UAGAGUGGCGCACGGGUGCGUAACACGUAGCUAACGUACCCUCUCGCUGGGGAUAACUUCGGGAAACCGAAGCUAAUACCGAAUAAUUUGUCGAGGUCUGUGGACCUUGCCAAUAAAGCCGUAAGGCGCGGGAGGAUCGGGCUGCGGUCUAUUAGCUAGUUGGCGGGGUAACGGCCCACCAAGGCUUUGACGGGUAGCUGGUCUGAAAGGACGGACAGCCACAAAGGCACUGAGACACGGGCCUU
rnacentral:rRNA from 1 species